rnacentral:rRNA from 1 species
CCCUUAGAUGUCCUGGGCCGCACGCGCGCUACACUGACAUGUUCAACAAGUUUCUCCUAGUUCGACAGGACUGGGAAAUCUUUGAACGCAUGUCGUGAUAGGGAUAGAUCAUUGCAAUUAUUGAUCUUGAACGAGGAAUUCCUAGUAAAUGCGAGUCAUCAGCUCGCAUUGAUUACGUCCCUGCCCUUUGUACACACCGCCCGUCGCACCUACCGAUUGAAUGUUUCGGUGAAGAUUCCGGAUAGGACUGAUUUGAUUUAUUUCAUUUCUGACCUAAAAGCUAUCUAAACCUCAACAUUUAGAGGAAGGUGAAGUCGUAACA